rnacentral:lncRNA from 1 species
CCACCACCCGCUCUCCAGAUGAGGAAAGAGGCCUCCGAGGUGCCCAGCCCUGGUACAGUCAGACAAGGUGCCAGAGCUGGGACUCCUUGCUGCCCCCCUCCAGCCCAGGGGCCACUGAUCUCAUGGUGUGCUCCGCCUGUUUACUCUGCUUCUCCUCCACUUUGAGAGGCCAGGGGUCCAUUUGUCUUGUCACCAAGGGUCUCUAGUGUCUAUGCAGGCCCAGCCUGUGGGAGCCACUCAGUCAAUAUUUGUGCGAAGAAUGAGGGGCCGAGGUGCUGAGUCUGCCCGGUCUGGGCUCUGCCGGCAGGUUUCCCUGCAUAAGGGGCAGCCGGGGCUCCAGCGUCUUGCUGGCUGCUAGAAAGGGGGCUGGCUGGCUGGUAGGAAGAGGGCCGGGCCGGGUGGAGGACUGGCCUGGAAAGGGUCUGCUAGCAAAGCCCACCCCCAACCCUGCUCAAAGGUACAAGGAGCAGGGGCAAAUGAUUUAUCUCCGCACCUAAGAAGUAAAGGGAGCGAUGCGGGGGGUCGGGGGUCGCUAGGGGUGUGUCUUAGGGUUCUGGCACCGGAAAAAUGGUUGGCUCCUGUUCUGGGUUCUGGACGCCCCCCCCCUCCCCGCCCAACCCCGCGCCGGGUUGCACUGGUUGGGGAAAGGGUAGAGGAUAUCAGGGCCCAGACCGGUCCGGAGCUCCAGCCGGGGGGUGGGGUGGGGGGGGUGGAGGGGUACUCAAGCAGGAGGCCCUCGGUGAGCGCCCCCGGGGGGCGGGGGUGGGGAGGAGGGUGCGGAAAGAGGUGCACCCUCGCCCACCGGUCUUCCCAAACCCGGGGUGUGGGUGUGGCUCCCCCCAGGGAUUGGAUGGGUUGGCACAGGAGCCAGCUGCGGAGGAGGUGUCCCGAUCACUGGUGGCCGGUGCGCCCCGGACCAGGUAG